CGUGGGUGCAGAUUUGGAAUAUGAGGUGGAAGGGCCGAAGGAGUUACAAAUGCCACGAAAACCAGCGCAUGCCUCUCAAACAAAUUAGUCAGGAACGAGCAACUUUUGGUGAUGACUGACGACAAUUGAAGAUUGAUGGAGGGAUUAUUGGGAAAUGCAAACAUCUUCUAUACUAUCUGAGACUCUGUUAUCUGUACUCCUAAUAGAGGAACGAGCAACUUUUGGUGACGACUGACGACAAUUGAUGAUUGAUGGAGGGAUUAUUGGGAAAUGCAAACAUCUUCUAUACUAUCUGAGACUCUGUUAUCUGUACUCCUAAUAGAGCAUGGCUGUCACCCCACCGCCAAAAUAGGAACCUACAAAGAUGUGCAGCUGACGCGAGGAAAGAAUGCUCAUUUGUU